rnacentral:rRNA from 1 species
ACGCUCGACACCUACGGGGGCAGCAGUGGGGAAUAUUGCACAAUGGGGGAAACCCUGAUGCAGCGACGCCGCGUGGAGGAAGAAGGUCUUCGGAUUGUAAACUCCUGUUGUUGGGGAAAAAGAGGAUGGUACCCAACAAGGAAGUGACGGCUAACUACGUGCCAGCAGCCGGACGGUAAUCUGAGGCCGGGGCGUGGACGAAGGC